ACGGACGACGGUGACUACAACAUAAAGUUACGCAACCUGAUCAUUUUCCUGGAAGAGGGAGAUAAGGCCAAAAUUACGUUAAGGUUUCGCGGACGUGAAAUGGCGCACCAGGAAUUUGGCGUGCGGCUGUUGGAGCGACUGCGGGGAGAUCUGGAAUCCUACGCAAUAGUGGAACAGUUUCCACGGAUGGAAGGGCGCCAGAUGGUCAUGGUGCUAUCUCCGCGUAAGAAAGAAGUGAAGUUGGUGAAGCCGAAAGCAGCAAAGCCGGAGGCGACAGAUAAUAGUUCAGCGCCCGCCAGUAAUGGGAACUCCGCACAACCGGA
rnacentral:misc_RNA from 1 species